CCAGUAAUGACUUGACUGGCUUUUUCACAAAUUAAAAUGAUUUAAUCAAAACAAUAGAGUAUGUAUACCAAAUUAUUCUUCAUCCUCCAAGAAACCCAAAGUUCAACAAUAUGGAAUGAAAACCAGAUAUUAUAACUAGUUGAGAAUCAAAACGUGGCAAAGACUGUUUCACUAUUUCAAUUUGAUUGGUAAAACUCAAAUAGCAUUUUUUUAAUCUAAACAAUUCAUCCAAAAUUUACAACUUUCCCUUCAAUCAAAAUGUUGAUUAAACAUUUGUUUGUUCAUAGGAGAAAUUCUGCCUGCCAUGAGUAUUCUUAAUCUCUGUUCACAAUCAAGAUUCAAAUUUCUUCAGAUAAAAGGACAUCCAUACUCAACUGGAAAAUUCUCAAAAAAUUGAAAAGUCAUAUUUUUCUGAAAGAAUGACAUAAAUAAAAUUUUCUGCGAGUAUGGAAACAGUUCAUGGUCCAAUGAGGGCGCAUGUAUCUGGCCCUUUUGUGACUUUGAGAUGACAUCCGUGCAUGAAGGACAAGGGAGAAGCCAUCACCACCCAGAAUAUGGCUUGGAUAACUGUCUCCUUGUGGCAGCACCUGUUGGCCUUCACAAAUCAGAACUGAGGAUCCAGGAGUGGGACUGAGACUUGUCUUCCUUUGCACCUCAGCAGGAUACCACCUCACCUGGAAAUUCAUCUUUAAGGUACAGUGUAUUCAUCUUGGUGUUGUCAGGUGCGGGAUCAGCUUAUACCUGGUGCUGGGAGUUGACACUCAUUUCUUAUACAUGUGUCUUUGGUGGCCAUUUGGACUCAUUUUUCCCUCCCUUUGAACACCCCACUUUGCACUAGUCUGGGAACAGGGUUAGACCAAUAGAGUUUUUCCAUCUCUGAUUUCUGCAUGUUGGUUAUGCAUGCAUUUCAAGUUAGUAUGAAAAAACAUAAAUCAGUUUUUGAUCUCACUGAGAAAGUCUCUCUUGAGAUUAAAUAAAAUACAGAACAUACCUCAUAUUGAUUAAUGGACAACUUAGUGCCAAGGAAACAUUUAUUAUGGGUGCCAGAAUCAAGGAGGCAUCUUAGAAAGCUGAAGGUCUUGAGAAUUAAUCUAUAAUUUGGGGUUUUUACUUGACUAAAUAACAUAGGACUUGGGAAAGUAAAUUGUAGAAUUAUCUUUUGUUUUGGUUUAUACACCUAAUCAUUAUCUAGCCCCUCAUUAAAUGACAUAAGUGAUUGAGCCUUACACAAAAUCAAGGUUUAUAUAAAUGUUAUUUGAUUAACUUGAUAUUUAUUUAAAGGGCAUUCUAGUAUGCUUUCAGAGUAAGUUAAUUAGUAAACGAAAUUUAUGAAUUCCCGAAGGAGUAAUAUCUUUUCCAG
rnacentral:lncRNA from 9 species